CCCUUAGAAGUUCUGGGCUACACGCGUGUUACACUGAUAUGUUCAACAAGUUAAAAUAUUCCUUGCCCGACGGGGCUGGGUAAUCUUUUAAAAGCAUGUCGUGAUGGGGAUAGAGCAUUGUAAUUAUUGCUCUUGAACGAGGAAUUCCUAGUAAGUGCAAGUCAUUAACUUGCGCUGAAUACGUCCCUGCCCUUUGUACACACCGCCCGUCGCUCCUACCGAUUGAGUGGUCCGGUGAGGCUUUGGGAUCUGAGCGGAAAGAGCGUUUCGCUGUUUCUGCUCGGAAAACUCAGUCGAACCUUAUCAUUUAGAGGAAGGAGAAGUCGUAACA
rnacentral:rRNA from 1 species